rnacentral:rRNA from 1 species
UACAGAGGGUGCAAGCGUUGUUCGGAAUUAUUGAGCGUAAAGCGCGUGUAGGCGGCUUUGCAAGUCGGGUGUGAAAGCCCUCGGCUCAACCGAGGAAGUGCGCCCGAAACUGCAGAGCUUGAGUACCGGAGAGGAUGGCGGAAUUCCCCAAGUAGAGGUGAAAUUCGUUGAUAUGGGGAGGAACACCGGUGGCGAAGGCGGCCAUCUGGACGGAUACUGACGCUGAGACGCGAAAGCGUGGGUAGCAAACAGGG